AGUGAACGCUGGCGGUAGGCCUAACACAUGCAAGUCGAACGGCAGCACAGUAAGAGCUUGCUCUUACGGGUGGCGAGUGGCGGACGGGUGAGGAAUACAUCGGAAUCUACUUUUUCGUGGGGGAUAACGUAGGGAAACUUACGCUAAUACCGCAUACGACCUACGGGUGAAAGCAGGGGAUCUUCGGACCUUUCGCGAUUGAAUUAGCCGAUGUCGGAUUAGCUAGUUGGCGGGGUAAAGGCCCACCAAGGCGACGAUCCGUAGCUGAUCUGAGAGGAUGAGCGGCGACACUGGAAAUGAGACACGGUCCAGAGUCCUACGGGAGGCAGCAGGAGGGAAGGUUGCGCAAGGGGGGAAGGCCUGACGGAGCAACGCCGCGUGAGGGAUGAAGGUCUUCGGAUCGUAAAACUCUGUGAUGAGGGAAGAACAAAAGGGUAAGUAACUAUGCACGCCUUGACGGUACCUAAUCAGAAAGCCAAGGCUAACUACGGG
rnacentral:rRNA from 1 species